rnacentral:misc_RNA from 1 species
GUUAUGCUUUUCCGCGUAUAGGAGAAAACAGGGCGUAAUAAGAUAGCUCCUUCACUUGAUUAGUGCGAGAGUGUGAAGGAGAUACAGAAAAAUUAAUAUCAACUCAAGGAUAGCAUACAUUUACUUUAAUAAUGACAAAUAGUUUUAAGACAAACGAAGAUGACCAACCACUUUCCGUCCCCAUUGAGGAUACCAUUUCGAUGACCUUCACAAUAAUUUCCUGAUUGACAGUUGACGCGCACACUUUUUUUUUUCAGCCUUGUCGUACCACUAUCCUAUGUCCAUUGGAUCUCCGUAAUCCAAGCAUCCUCAGGCACACAAACCAGCUCAAAGCCUAAGUCACUUCACUACAGAAAUCACAGGCCCACAUGCAUACGAUCAUAAAUUUCCCUCAUGAUCCAAUUACAUAAAAUGACAAAUGCCAAGCAUGGUUAUAUUAGUAACAACCAUAAACCAAUCGAAGAUAUUUUUGGUAGUUUUACCUUCAAUUGAGAAAAUUGCAACAUUAAAAGACCUGCCAAAAAACGUAUAGUCCUGGCGCUAGUGGAAAAUUAAUGCCAGUCGCAAGUUGCUCUUACAAAUGGUUUCUUUGAGGCAUUACAUCUCAGUUCUGUAUCUUUCAAUUAGAAAAUAUUUUCCCCUGAACAAAUCAUUCCCUAGGGAUGCACUUAACUGCGGCAAAUAUUGCCACCAGGGUUCACCAGAUUUCAUGUCUUUCCUGCAAACUAGAAUAGAAACAUACCAUUCGACAUAUCAUAAACAUGUUCAAAUUACCUCCAGGCACCCACAAAAUUGCAAGUUAACAGGUUUUGCAAUGCAGUUUAACCUUGCAUCCCAGUCCGCUGAAGUAGAUUUUCAAACAAGUGUCAAAACAUUAUUAAAGCAAUUAUGCUUUUAAGAGGCUAAGAUGCUAUGAAAAUUACUCUACAAAGAAGAGUGUAGUUACCUACAAUUGUCUGACACUGGUUUUGAAAGUUUGACUCCAAAAAUAACCUACUCUGUAAAAAAGGAAACCCAUUUCUGCAUGAAGAUGAGUGUGGAGCUUUUACAUUUAUUACCCUAAAAAACGCAAUGACCAUUGGCCUUAACUGCAGCUCAUGUGCAUAACCCAUGCACCAUCCCAAUGGUUCAAGUUCCCACCAAAUAAUGGUGAAGGCACUAGAAGAAGGAACAAUGAGCAUCCCUACCUUGUAGAUUGCCAACAUGAUAACAAGUUACAUUGAAAUCAUAUCAUGAAGAUCAAGCAGAUGGUCACCUGGUAAAAUAAUUUUAUCAAGCAUUGCCACCCUGUCAAAUAAUUUUAAGCUGUACAUGGUUAAUCCCGAUAGAUUUUGGAAUUCUAGACUUUCUUUACUGUUCAGCGGAGAAAGCAGCAGUUGCAAACAAUAUUACAUCGACUUGAAUUGAGAAAAAUUAAAUCCAUGAUAAGGAGGGUAAGUCUACCAUUGUGGCCAUGAUAGAAAUAAGAAUUAUGUGUUACCUCAAAAUUGUGACACAAAACCAUCGUCCCUAUCAGCAGCAGUGUCAUUCAAGCAUAUAAUUUGGUUCUGUCCUCUUAAAUACAAGAGAACAGGAUAUCCAUCAAUAACCCCAAUACAAGGAGAGGGACACUAGACUCUGAAAACAAUGUUCUAAAGGCAAUCGCUUAAAAGAAAUUCAAUUCAGCCAAAGCCUAAGAUGAAUAUAAAGCACUUAUAACAAUAACAAGUCAUACCUACCUCAACCCUUUUCUCCUCUAUUAAUAUUGAUGAAAGGGAGGUAUAGUCUCAACAAAGCUGUGAGAUAGCAAGAAAAAUUUUACCCAUGAUGCUGAUUAAACUUAAGAUUCCAAAAACACAAGCUCAUAAAACUUCAAGAUUGAAAGUCUACCUCAUGUAAUUUAAAAGCUCUGAUAUCUAUCUACCAAUCCAUUUAAUAUUGGUGAGCUGGACUUUUAGGUGAUCUCCUGUGACCAUGUCUAACAGGGGACCGUGACCUACUCCGGUCACGGUACCUAUCCCUGCCGCUCUCUCUUCCAUUCCUGGACCUCCACUCUGUCCCCUUUCCUCCAUCCCCACUACCUCUACCAUUCCACUCUCGUGACCUUUCAUGAUCCCGUUCACGUUCGCGAUUGCGGUCCCUCUCCCUGUCUCGAUCUCUAUCAUGAUAACGGUCCCUAUCAUUAGAAUCACUCCUCCUCCUCCUCUUCUCAUAUUCCUUCUCCCUCUGCUUCCUUCGUUCUUCAGCUUCCUUCUCCCUAGCUAGUCUCUCCUCUUCCCUUGCCUUCUCCUUAGCUGCCUUGUACUCUGUGAUGAAAUCUCGGACCAUGCCGUAACCUAUGUGCUGCUUCCCUAAGACAUGAGACUGAGUCCUCUCAGCAGCAUCAUUUGCUACUAGAAAAGAACC